rnacentral:misc_RNA from 1 species
UCGAUAAAAAAACAAACAAGAACCUGCCAACCAACAUAGGCUUCGGGCACCACGUGCCGAGCCCCAGGUUUUAGACUCGUCAGACUCUGCAAUUUCCAUGCUGAUUCUCAGUGCAUUCAACAUCCGUUAUCGUCUCACAUGUCAGCUACUGACACGUACUGCAUCAGCUCGUCAUCAUCGAGCAGCGCCGCCAUCGUCUCCGGCGCCAGACAAACCUCAAGAUCAACGCUGCCACCUCCCUCCCUCGCGGGA